UUGUGAGGUUAAGCGACUAAGCGUACACGGUGGAUGCCCUGGCAGUCAGAGGCGAUGAAGGACGUGCUAAUCUGCGAUAAGCGUCGGUGAGGUGAUAUGAACCGUUAUAACCGGCGAUUUCCGAAUGGGGAAACCCAGUGUGUUUCGACACACUAUCAUUAACUGAAUCCAUAGGUUAAUGAGGCGAACCGGGGGAACUGAAACAUCUAAGUACCCCGAGGAAAAGAAAUCAACCGAGAUUCCCCCAGUAGCGGCGAGCGAACGGGGAGGAGCCCAGAGCCUGAAUCAGUGUGUGUGUUAGUGGAAGCGUCUGGAAAGGCGUGCGAUACAGGGUGACAGCCCCGUACACAAAAAUGCACAUACUGUGAGCUCGAUGAGUAGGGCGGGACACGUGGUAUCCUGUCUGAAUAUGGGGGGACCAUCCUCCAAGGCUAAAUACUCCUGACUGACCGAUAGUGAACCAGUACCGUGAGGGAAAGGCGAAAAGAACCCCGGCGAGGGGAGUGAAAAAGAACCUGAAACCGUGUACGUACAAGCAGUGGGAGCCUCUUAAUGGGGUGACUGCGUACCUUUUGUAUAAUGGGUCAGCGACUUAUAUUCUGUAGCAAGGUUAACCGAAUAGGGGAGCCGAAGGGAAACCGAGUCUUAACUGGGCGUUAAGUUGCAGGGUAUAGACCCGAAACCCGGUGAUCUAGCCAUGGGCAGGUUGAAGGUUGGGUAACACUAACUGGAGGACCGAACCGACUAAUGUUGAAAAAUUAGCGGAUGACUUGUGGCUGGGGGUGAAAGGCCAAUCAAACCGGGAGAUAGCUGGUUCUCCCCGAAAGCUAUUUAGGUAGCGCCUCGUGAAUUCAUCUCCGGGGGUAGAGCACUGUUUCGGCAAGGGGGUCAUCCCGACUUACCAACCCGAUGCAAACUGCGAAUACCGGAGAAUGUUAUCACGGGAGACACACGGCGGGUGCUAACGUCCGUCGUGAAGAGGGAAACAACCCAGACCGCCAGCUAAGGUCCCAAAGUCAUGGUUAAGUGGGAAACGAUGUGGGAAGGCCCAGACAGCCAGGAUGUUGGCUUAGAAGCAGCCAUCAUUUAAAGAAAGCGUAAUAGCUCACUGGUCGAGUCGGCCUGCGCGGAAGAUGUAACGGGGCUAAACCAUGCACCGAAGCUGCGGCAGCGACACUAUGUGUUGUUGGGUAGGGGAGCGUUCUGUAAGCCUGUGAAGGUGUACUGUGAGGUAUGCUGGAGGUAUCAGAAGUGCGAAUGCUGACAUAAGUAACGAUAAAGCGGGUGAAAAGCCCGCUCGCCGGAAGACCAAGGGUUCCUGUCCAACGUUAAUCGGGGCAGGGUGAGUCGACCCCUAAGGCGAGGCCGAAAGGCGUAGUCGAUGGGAAACAGGUUAAUAUUCCUGUACUUGGUGUUACUGCGAAGGGGGGACGGAGAAGGCUAUGUUGGCCGGGCGACGGUUGUCCCGGUUUAAGCGUGUAGGCUGGUUUUCCAGGCAAAUCCGGAAAACCAAGGCUGAGGCGUGAUGACGAGGCACUACGGUGCUGAAGCGACAAAUGCCCUGCUUCCAGGAAAAGCCUCUAAGCAUCAGGUAACAUUAAAUCGUACCCCAAACCGACACAGGUGGUCAGGUAGAGAAUACCAAGGCGCUUGAGAGAACUCGGGUGAAGGAACUAGGCAAAAUGGUGCCGUAACUUCGGGAGAAGGCACGCUGAUAUGUAGGUGAAGCGACUUGCUCGUGGAGCUGAAAUCAGUCGAAGA
rnacentral:rRNA from 1 species